rnacentral:rRNA from 1 species
CAGCCGUAAACUAUGCGCGUUAGGUGUAUCGGUGACCACGAGUUACCGAGGUGCCGAAGGGAAACCGUGAAACGUGCCGCCUGGGAAGUACGGUCGCAAGGCUGAAACUUAAAGGAAUUGGCGGGGGGAGCACCACAACGGGUGGAGCCUGCGGUUUAAUUGGACUCAACGCCGGGAAGCUCACCGGAUAAGACAGCGGAAUGAUUGCCGGGCUGAAGACUCUGCAUGACUAGCUGAGAGGUGGUGCAUGGCGUCAGUGACU